CGGGGAGGGCGAAUUUGAAACCACAAACGGUAGCCCUUGACAACGGUGGAUUCUACCCAAAGGCAACGCUGUGCAUGAGCGCCAGAGCAGGAUUUGUGAAGCAAGGCGACCUGUUUUUGGUGGCGAGCUCCACAGAGCUUUGUCACCCUCCUGUGGAGAGAGAAGGGGCUGGACAAUGCAUGUAUUUUGGCUCAUUUGGCCCAAAUUUGAAUGAAAGCAAACAGGGGAGUUGGGUAACACUUCUGACACACCCGACAAACGAGAGAAAACGUACCCCAAAGGCCGUUGCACACCAUUUCACAGCGCUCUGAGGAAACCUGGAGCAAAACAGUGCCUCAGAUGAUCCACCCAGUUACCUGUCUUCCACUCUCUGGGUGUGACCAGUGUGGAAUCGCUAUAUAUAUCCAUCAGCUACGGACCUGCUGCAGCAGACGAAGGCAAACCUCCUGGAUUGGUGUUACGUACUUGUUUACCCGUCUUUACCAAGAUCAACAUGAGUGAAGAAGAACUGAAGCCUGAGGUGGCUGUAGAGGAAGAGGAAUCUGGAUCUGAAUCAGGGGAGUCUGAUGGAGAACCCAAUGGAAAGAGGAAGGGGAAAAAUAAGGGGAAGAAAGGAGGGAAGGGUAAAGGAGGAGAGCACGGGCAUGGCCAUGGUCCUGGAGAAGAGCAUGGCAGAGGAAGAGGGGACGGAGGAAGAGGAGGUGGUGGCGGUGGAAGAGGAGGUGGCGGUGGAAGAGGAGGUCGUGGAGGACAUGACUAAAGUCCUGUUUGUCACCUGCACUUUCACUGCUGUAAGAACCAGCUCCAGGCUGUUAAUGAAUGCUUGAUGUGUCAAUAAUUAAUAAAAGUUUAUUAC
ensembl:lncRNA